GCAGGGAAGGGCGUGGUGUCCUCGGGAGAGCGGUCGGGAGCUGCUGGCUGUUUCGUUAGCUGGCGGGCGCGGCGCUGGCAGUGUUGGCUCAAGCUAAACGUGAAGAGGGGGGCUUACGCGAGAGACUUUGAGGAAGAUGGCUGCGCGAAGAGAGCUGUCUGCAAGCGGAAAAGCAGCGUAACGAAUUGUUCGGUGAAGACCGCGAACCGAGAGCGGGAGAGGUAGGCGAUACCCAGGUCAGUGCGGCGGACUCUUCUUCAAAUUGUCAGCGUGCUGUCAAAGGGACUGUUUUGUGGUCAGAUUGAUUUCUUGUACACAGUGGGAUUCACUAAUUGCCAAGCGCACAAAUGCGAAAACAGUCAGAUCAGAAGAUUUGCACAAUGCUUUUGAAGUGGACCUGGCUACAGACUGGAUGACAAUGUAUUUUGCACUAAAGCUGACUGGUUGAAGCACUGCUUUCAGUGCCUAAGAGCUGAAAUUGACAGUGUCAAGGAAUUAAAAAGAAAACUGGGAGAACUGGUCUCUUUAAACACUGGAAUUUUUAAUCUUUGAUCAUCCUUCUCCUUCUUUUUUGGAGAAGCAGAACUUUCCUUCAAAUGUACCAUUCCCUUUGACGUUAUAUGUACUAGGACUUUGACAGACAGGAUGAGCUGGCUGAGCCGACUUACUCCACGAACAACUGGAAAUAGGGCCAGCCAAGCUGCUACUCUAUCAAGUCCUCUUACUGCUGACCCAGAGACUUGCCUAAUGGUGUUUAAAAAUCACUGGAGACAGGUAUCCUGGAUUUUAGAAAAACAAGAGCCAUCUCUGAGUACUGGUGAUGAGCUGAGUGCAAUAAGAAAUCACACUGACCAGAUGCUGUGUCUGCUGGCAGAAGAGCACCCUAUAGAUCAUUCUAGCAUGGGGCCCAUUCUGGAGCUGGUGGUAAAAGAAAAUAUUCUGGUGCAGCUAGUUCAGUGGCAUCUUAACCAAGGAUUAGAUCCUGAUAGUCAUACAGCUUUGUUGAAACUUUUUGAGAUGUUAAUAGGGCAAUCUCAUCAGUCAUUGCUAUGUCACAAAGCUGUGCUACAACCCUUGCUAUCCUUACUCAAAGUCUGUGCUGAAAUUAACUGCAACAUACCUGCAAUAGAAGGAAGCCUUGUUCUUCUUCUUAACCAAGUAUGUGUCUCUAUGGUUAAAGACCCUCCUAUUCUUGAACUAUUUUUUUACACACCUACUGAGCAAGGGCCAACCAAUAUGCUUAUUUUUUCUUUACUUGUGCCCUUUAUUCACCGGGAUGGAGUUAUUGGACAACAAGCUCGUGAUGCUUUGCUACUUGUCAUGGCUACAUCAGCUAGCAAUCCAGCAGUGGCAAAAUACAUUGCGGAAAACUCUUACUUCUGUCCGGUUUUAGCCACGGGACUAAGUGCACUCUAUUCCUCAUUACCAAGGAAAAUUGAAGUUCGAGGAGAUGACUGGCAUGCACUGAGAAGAGAGGACUGGAUUGGAGUGUCUUCUCUUGUUCUUUUCAUGAAUUCUCUUGAGUUUUGUAAUGCUGUUAUUCAGGUCUCUCACCCUCUUGUUAAAAACCAGUUGGUGGAUUAUGUGCACAAUGGUUUUCUUGUCCCUGUCCUGGGCCCUGCUCUUCAUAAGACAUCAGCGGAAGAAAUGAUUACUAGCACUGCUUAUCUGGAUUUGUUUCUUCGAAGUAUCACAGAAACAGCUCUUCUGAAAGCCUUUUUGCGUUUCAUCCUUUUGCAUAGGCAUGACAAUGAAACUAUCCUGGAUACGCUUAUAACUAGAAUCAACAGUGGCGCACGGCUCUGCAUGGUUUCUCUUAGUCUUUUCAAAACCCUGCUUUCUCUAAACUGUGAAGACUUCAUGCUACAGCUUGUACUCAGGUAUCUCCUGCCUUGUACCCAUGUUAUGAUAAGUCAGAGGCGAGCUGUGAGGGAAAUAGACAUAUAUGGGAAGUCAUCGGACAAGUUCCUGUCUCUCAUUCCCGAAUGCUGCAAGCUGGAGUUGGGAUCUACUUCAGAGCAUGAAGAAGAUUCCAUGUAUUGGAGCAGAGUGCCAACAAGUCCUGCCAUGGAAUCCCCUGCAAAACCAAGCACUCCAUCUCGCCUAGCCUUCUUUAUUCGCCAGCAGAGUAUGGGUUCAAGUUCAAAUUUAGACCCACCCCAGUCUCCACGCAGUAGUAGUCUUACUGGAGAAUCACCAGAAAGUCCAUUGCAUCAGACACCUGAUCUAGGAGAACUGGAAACUGGAUAUCUUGAAUAUCUUAAAGAUGCACGGAAGAACAUUGAGCAGUGUGCUUGGGCUUGCCGCUGCUGGUCUGCUCCCUAUGAUGGAGAAGCACCAUCUCCUAACUGUGUGACACUGCCUCCUCCAAAUCCAUCUUCACUGAACAUAACUCCAGAGCAUUAUGGUAAUCCAAUCUUGACAGUUGAAAAAAAUGCAGAUUUUGAGGGAAUAGAUCCCAGCCUGCAAAGCAUAACAAACAGUCACAAAUCUGACAAGGAUAGCUCAGAUAGAGAUAGUGGGGAAUGGGACAUCACUAUUGGGCAUAACUGCAUAAGUUUAACACCACGUACUAAGAAGCGUACCCUGCGACCACAAGGAAUUCUACCUACCGCUUCAUCCCAGAGUUCUGGGCCUUGUAGUGCAAGUCACAGUCAGCUUCCUGUUAAUGGCAGUGGUUAUCCUUUCUUUAAUGGUAUAGGACAAAUGGUGACAGGUACAAAAGAAAGGCACGAUGAAGAAAUGGAGGUUAAAAAAGUUCGCAGAGAUGAUAAUAUUGAGAAUGACUGUGGUGUACAAAAUGGGGUGAAAGAUGAUAGACAGCAGUCUCCUGAAGCAAGAAGGCAGCUUUCUAGUAAAAGCCAAGUUUUGUCACCGUUAUCAUCAUCUUUGUCUCAGAAAUCAUUAGUUUCACAAAUUGGAGAUGUUCCACAUUUAGAUAUCAGCAUAUGCACAGCAGAGGCUCACAGCCUGGAAUCUGUUGAAAGUCUGAUUGAUGAACUUAUAGAUCAAGCUCCAGGUGAAAUAAAUGGAUCUGGUAUCAGCAUUGAGGUCUUCAGCAAGGAAUUACGAGAGCUGGAAGAGACAGUGCAACAGCAUCAGCGCCAAAGGAUUCAGACCCUCUGUGAUGAUGCCAAAGACACCAGUAAUGGAGGGAAGUGUCCCUCUCUUUACUUGUAUAGAGAAGAAGAGGAAAGUUGCCAAUCCCUUGAUCUGAACCUUGCUGAUUCAACAAUACAGAAGGUGCAAAAUGUGGGCACUAUGUUGACCAGCCCUGCACGAUCUGCAGGACAGCCUUACACAGGACCCUUCAUUGCAGCAUUGUUUGCCAAGCUGGAGAAUAUGAUGCAGAAUUCUUUGUAUGUGAAUAUAAUGUUGACUGGAAUGCUGUCACAAUUAGCCUGCUAUCCCCAACCCCUGCUCCGUUCCUUUCUGCUGAAUACCAACAUGGUCUUCCAACCCAGUGUGAAGUCACUCAUCCAGGUCUUGGGCUCAGUAAAAAACAAGAUUGAAGUCUUUGCAUCUACACAAGAGGAUUUUCCUGGAAUGUUACGUAAAGCCAGAAAGUACCUAGUGGCACGGGGAAAAGUGGAUUGGGCCGAAUCACCCACUGUUCUGCCAAAUUUACGAAGAUCUGAAACACUAGUAAAAAGCCGAAAGACAUCCCUUGGUGAACUGAUUCUGCGACAUACUAACAGUCCUACAAGAGCUAAACAAGCUGCCCAGCUUGCUUUUGCCCAUGUGAGAGAUGGUGGACAAGUUCUACACAGUGCCCUUUUCAGAGGCUCAGCUGUUGGAACAGUGGAACGACAGAAUGAAGCACUACGUGUCAAAAAUGCUGUAUACUGUGCUAUUAUUUUUACUGAAUUUUUAAAGGAACUAGCUGCUUUAGCUCAAGAGCAUGCUGUGACUACACCUUUUCCACUGUACCAAGAAACAGAGGAGUGAUAACACUGAAUUUGCAGAAUACGGAUUCUUGAGAUUCAGUAGUCACAGCAUUAUGCCAGUAAUGCAGGAUGGCUAUGCAGACUUUUAAUGACACAUGCAUGGUAAAGGAAGAAUGGGCUUACGUGAUUCUGUUAAAUGCAAAGUUGAUACCAUCAUGGCCUUUGAAGCACCACUUUUAAUGUAAGAUAUGAAGGAUUUAGGAAAUCUUUUCUGUUAUGAAUUGGAAGAUACUGUUUCUGUACGCAAAUGACUUUGUUCUUUUAGGAAUCUAAUGAGGACCUUUUCUUAUCUAAAUUAAACAUAUCAGUAUAAAAUAGACUCAUUUUGGAAAGCUCUAUUGUCUUCCUCCUGAGAGUCAUAAAUGUGUCUUCAUUUAACUGGAUAUCUUUUAUUUGCCAUCUGUCUGUGUAUCUGUCUUUGAACACAAGAAUUUACUGUGCUCUUUGGUAAGUUUCUAUAUUAUCUACCAACUGAUAUCUAGAAGGCUCAGUAAUAGGUUUUAUUUAAUGCGGUUAACUGUGUUUCGUUAUUUCUAGCAGGUACGAAAACCGAAAUCUAGAGCAUUGCAUUCCUGUAUUGAGCAGGGUGAUCUCUACAUACAUGGAGUUGUCCUAGUAAUAUAUCUGUGUCUCAGUUUAGUUGUAGAAUUCACUGUCUUAAAGGUCUGUGUGGCUUUGGCAUAUUUUUCUCAACCUGUCUGUAGACUAGGAACUGGAGUAAAAAGACAACCUCUUUUAUUGGUAGAAUAACAUAAUAACAUGUCACCCGUCACAAAAAAAAUGGCUUUAAAAUACGAUUUGGUUGCCUAAAGAGAGAUUAAAUACCUGCAGCUUUAGUUUUCUGUGACUUUACAUUUAUUUCAUUUAUAUAUUUUAUUUUCUCCCUAUGAAAUGAAAGUCCUAAUUGACAUUUGUACUGUUCUAUAUGUAACAGACAUUACAAGUCAGUGAUUCAAAAAUUAUUAUCAAUUGAAACUGAUGCAUUUCUCUGUGAUGUGUACUUAGUUACCUAUCACAUUUUGUGCAUUCUGAUUUACAUUUUUCAAAUUCCUCUAUAACGCAUCAAUUUUAUGUGAAAUGCUUGUACAGUUUAUGUGCAGCAGCCGUGUAUUUCUACAUAGCUAAUGUUAGUUUAUUACUGUUUUCAAAUCAUGCAUUUCCAUAUAUAAUAUCUGAGAUGUUUUGAAAAAUAUUAAAAACUAAAACCCUGCUUUUCUUUUUAAAAUAUUUAUAUUUACACAAUAAUUGUUCAUUGAUCAUUUUUAGAAAAAAUAAACUUGCACAGUAUAAUACGCAUUAAGUAUUAUGUCUGUUCUUAAGAUGAAUUUUUGGCAUUACUAUGUAAAUGUAUAUUCCAAAAAGUAUAUUUCCCCAUUGUUUACCAGUAUGUCAUUUAAUUAAUUUCUGUGGCACUUUUGAGAAUUUGUUUAAAUUAUCGGUGCUAGUUGACUAUAAAAUGGAGAAUAGAAAUGGGUUUAAAGCACUAAAAAGCAGACCAAUGCCAGCUCUUAAUCAUAUCUGCAUAGGUAUCACAGAGUGCAUUGAACACUUGUGUUUCUCACUCUAAAUUAUCAGGUUAUUUUGAUUUUUAAAUAAUUAAUGUAAGAGUGAAUGAAUGAAAAAAAGGAUUGAAAGGGAAUUAAUUGUUUUAAAGUUAUGAAUGCAGUGAUUUAUAACGUGUUUCUAUUUGUAUUUCAUCAUCAUUGACUGAGCUCCACUCAGGGCCUUAUUGUUCACUUGUCUUUUAGAGUGUUUGGUUCUGUCAGAGAUCCCAACUCAUCACAGCAAGCUCUUUCAGUCAUUUUAUUUUUUUUGUUUAUAUUUCUUGGGAUAUACUGUAUUUAAAUUUGAGUGUUUUUCAGUUUUGUUACUUGGCAUUUACAUUCAGUAUUUUCGAGAAGUGUAAUUCAGUGGUAAAUCUGAAUUAUACAAACCCUAAGAAAUUAUUUGCUUAUAUUUGUUUUUUAUCAUUAUUUUAAGACAAAACUGCAUCUGUAAAUCUAUUUUUCAUGAUCUAAAUUGAAAUACUAAUUUCUUAAAUAUCACAUAUUUAUUUCAUCAAUGAGGUGUGGUUUAUGGCAUAUUAUUUACAGUGUUGCUCCAUUGGGCUUGCUUGAAAGGAGCUGUGCUUUAAUUUUGGAUUAUUGUACUGUUGAUUGUUGAAAAAAAUAUAUAUUUGAAUUUUACCUAAUUGUUUAAUUUGCACAUUCUGUAGGUUCUGGUGCGUGUGUUAAAAAGGAGACAACAACUCAUUAUCUCCAUUUCUUUGAAAUCUAUGCAACUCAUUUCCAUUAUUCAAUCAUGCUGGCAUCACUUGAUGCAUUUGUGUAAUCUGUAAAUAAUGUAUACAACAAGAUAAAACACAAAUGAAUGUUGCUAGAAUUAUUUUUAUAUAUUUAAAAUAAAAGUAAGUCAAAGACUGUAACUAAAAAGGGAAUGGUUUUAUUAAUUUAUAAAUGUUUUGACUUAGCAAUAACGUCUAUGGUCUAGCUAAUCCCAGUCCAGCAAUUUCUAUGGACAGAUGUUCUCUUUACAGACACCUUUGAAACUUUUCUGCAUUCACUUAUCUUUGAGAACAAUCACAUUUUGGUGAGUGCAGAUAACAGUGUCUGAGUUUUCUGAGACUGUUCAGUGAUAGGUGCCACUCCCAUGCACAGUAAAUUUAAAAGUUAAUAUAAAUAAGAACAUUGAAAAAUCUGGCCUAUGUGGCCCAUAGUUAUUGUGCUUCUUUGUCUGACAUCAGGAACUUCUGCUUCUCAGGUUGAGAUUUAACAGAUUGCUGUUAAAGUACAAUUCAAAGACCUCCUUUUUAAACAAACCUUUUAGCUUGACUGGUUCAUUCAAACCAUAUUGCAUCACCUUUACACUACGUGAACCUCUUCCAGUCACUGGAUGUCUGUCUGGGAUGUGCAUGCCACUGUAGGAAAUUGCUGGGUAUUUUCUAGUCUUUUUCUUUCUGCUCUUUUUAGGGACAUGUCAGCUGGAUGAAUUCAGUACAGUACAGAGUGGACCUUAACUGUUCCUAAAGUUUUAUUUGAUUGGUUCGGAGGGUAAAGCUGGAAGCAUUUUUAUUUCCAUAAAAUGUUGAGGGUUUGAUGAAAUAUUGCAUUUCUUUUGCAUGUUAUAUUUGAUUUUGCACAGUUCAUUUUGCUGUUCCUAUUUUUGUCAUUGUCUCUUUACAUGGAAAUAUUUUCUGUUUGUAAAAAUUCAACAAAAUAAAUUGUCUGUUCUCAUUCUUA